AGCUUUGUGCAGGGCAGUAUCAUUGCCAAUGAGGUUUAUCUGAAACACAAUUAUUGCUAAUUGAAAACUUUUCCCUAAAAACUAACACUGGCAGCUCUGUAGUAGACAAAUGUAAAUUUGAAGAAAGUGACAGAGCU